UACACCAUGCUAGGAGUGUGUGUGUGUGUGUGCACGUGCACACGCGUUCGUAUGACAAUCAGGCCCCCAUCUGGGCCUGGCUGCUGUCCCCUGAACCCAGUGAACAAAUCUCUAACAACAAUCAUAAUAACAAUAAAUAAUAAAUAACAAUAAAAAUGGUAGUUAACAGUCCCUCCCUAGCAGGAUAACAAUAAAAUGCAAGAGGAGAGAUUUUGAGGAGGGGACAGAGGAAGGAGUCAUGAUCAUAGCAUCUGAGGGGAAGACAGGAAAGGAAGGAAGUUAGCUUCUCUACGUUUGGCCAGGGAUUGGGUUUGGGAACCCCCUCCCCAGAUAAGGUCCUCUGGCUAGAGGAGCAGAGAGAGCCAGGAGGCCGCUCUUUCUUGCUGCUUUUUCUUGAGCUUUUGCUUUGCGUGAUUCAGGAGAGGGACCCCACAUAUGGGGGUGGUUAGUGACUUUGGGGACUCUCUGGAUCCCCUAUUUUAAAGAGGAGGCCAAGCGUGCAUGUCAAGCUGAGGAGCAGAGAAAGAAGAGGUGAUGACCACAGCUGGGUUUUCAGCGCGGCAGGGCGGCCGAGGUGCCCAGGAGGACUAGCCACCCGCCGGGCAGGGACAGAAUUUAUGGCCGGCCCUAGAGAGGGUAGAGUAAGGCUCGUGGCUCUGGUAGGCCCAGGGAAAUUUCCCUUCCUACUGUCUUUUGAGAGAGAGAGAGAGAGAGAGAGAGAGAGAGAGAGAGAGAGAGAGAGAGAGAAAGAAGAGGAAGAAGAAGAAGAAGAAAGGGAUUGAGGCUCAUUGCAUUUUCCUUCACCGGAUUCAAGUGGAGCAGAUUUCCAUAAGGGAAGAGAAGACACGUUCUCGGAUCCUUCCAUGUUCGCCUCAUUCUCUCCAGGCCUCUCCACUUGUCCGAGCUCUCAGCCACCAGGAGACUGACACGGAAGGGGUUUGGGGGCUGCCCUCCACCAACUCCUGCUUGGCUUCCCAAAGUCCAGCCACCUUCAGCCCUCCUUGGGGGAAAAUAUCAGUGCCCAGACACCUCUGCUCUCUGUCAUAUAUGACUGCGCUCACUUCAGGAUUAUCCUACAAAGAAGAAGAAGAAAGGCCGGCUUAGAGCCGUGUUUACAUCUAGUUCUACUGAUCCGAUUCACAUCUGGAGAGUUUAUUUAUAACUCCCACUAUAACUCUCUCUGUUUGGAAGCACUGGUGGCUCUAUUGACAGACUGAUGUCUAGAAAAUAUUGCUCUAUCUCUAACCAUACCUAAAUGUGCUGUGGUCGUAUUUACAGAUUUAUGCUUGAGGAAAAUAUAAUUAUUUCCAUUGUGUUUCUGCAUAUACAAUAGUUACAGGAGCAGAUUUAUAUAUGCGAAAAUAUAUGACUCUCUUAUA